AUAAACAAACGGCUCGUCUGAAAUGCCUGAGUGUACCCCGCUUUGCGGCGUAUUCGGUGUGAUAAAUCUUCACCGGAGUUGAUCCCUUUAUGGGGUCGCGUCUGUAAUGGUGUGGCUCUAUGCUUCAAACCGUCUUUUAUUAAGAGACAAAUCUCUGACAAUUUGACCUCAAAUCGGGUGGGACUACCCGCUGAACUUAA
rnacentral:misc_RNA from 1 species